rnacentral:lncRNA from 1 species
CUUCGACGGCGCCGCCUAGGAACGCGGAGAAAAUAUGACAAAGGAACGGCCAAAAAUAAAAAGAAAGACCUUUCUUUUGAAAAAACAAACAAAAAAAAAGGAAUGCAACACGAGGACUUCCCAGGAGGUCACCCAUCCUAGUACUACUCUCGCCCAAGCACGCUUAACUUCGGAGUUCUGAUGGGAUCCGGUGCUUUAGUGCUGGUAUGAUCGCAUCGGACAUACCGUGCGUUCUCCUCCCCUUUAUGCCCGCGCCUCCGUGUACGGCCCGCCCAUAGCUCCUUCGACGGCGCCGCCUAGGAACGCGGAGAAAAUAUGACAAAGGAACGGCCAAAAAUAAAAAGAAAGACCUUUCUUUUGAAAAAACAAACGCCUCAGUGUACGGCCCGCCCAUAGCUCCUUCGACGGCGCCGCCUAGGAACGCGGAGAAAAUAUGACAAAGGAACGGCCAAAAAUAAAAAGAAAGACCUUUCUUUUGAAAAAACAAACAAAAAAAAGGAAUGCAACACGAGGACUUCCCAGGAGGUCACCCAUCCUAGUACUACUCUCGCCCAAGCACGCUUAACUUCGGAGUUCUGAUGGGAUCCGGUGCUUUAGUGCUGGUAUGAUCGCAUCCGACAUACCGUGCGUUCUCCUCCCCUUUAUGCCCGCGCCUCCGUGUACGGCCCGCCCAUAGCUCCUUCGACGGCGCCGCCUAGGAACGCGGAGAAAAUAUGACAAAGGAACGGCCAAAAAUAAAAAGAAAGACCUUUCUUUUGAAAAAACAAACGCCUCCGUGUACGGCCCGCCCAUAGCUCCUUCGACGGCGCCGCCUAGGAACGCGGAGAAAAUAUGACAAAGGAACGGCCAAAAAUAAAAAGAAAGACCUUUCUUUUGAAAAAACAAACAAAAAAAAGGAAUGCAACACGAGGACUUCCCAGGAGGUCACCCAUCCUAGUACUACUCUCGCCCAAGCACGCUUAACUUCGGAGUUCUGAUGGGAUCCGGUGCUUUAGUGCUGGUAUGAUCGCAUCCGACAUACCGUGCGUUCUCCUCCCCUUUAUGCCCGCGCCUCCGUGUACGGCCCGCCCAUAGCUCCUUCGACGGCGCCGCCUAGGAACGCGGAGAAAAUAUGACAAAGGAACGGCCAAAAAUAAAAAGAAAGACCUUUCUUUUGAAAAAACAAACAAAAAAAAGGAAUGCAACACGAGGACUUCCCAGGAGGUCACCCAUCCUAGUACUACUCUCGCCCAAGCACGCUUAACUUCGGAGUUCUGAUGGGAUCCGGUGCUUUAGUGCUGGUAUGAUCGCAUCCGACAUACCGUGCGUUCUCCUCCCCUUUAUGCCCGCGCCUCCGUGUACGGCCCGCCCAUAGCUCCUUCGACGGCGCCGCCUAGGAACGCGGAGAAAAUAUGACAAAGGAACGGCCAAAAAUAAAAAGAAAGACCUUUCUUUUGAAAAAACAAACAAAAAAAAGGAAUGCAACACGAGGACUUCCCAGGAGGUCACCCAUCCUAGUACUACUCUCGCCCAAGCACGCUUAACUUCGGAGUUCUGAUGGGAUCCGGUGCUUUAGUGCUGGUAUGAUCGCAUCCGACAUACCGUGCGUUCUCCUCCCCUUUAUGCCCGCGCCUCCGUGUACGGCCCGCCCAUAGCUCCUUCGACGGCGCCGCCUAGGAACGCGGAGAAAAUAUGACAAAGGAACGGCCAAAAAAAAAAGAAAGACCUUUCUUUUGAAAAAACAAACUAAAAAAAGGAAUGCAACACGAGGACUUCCCAUGAGGUCACCCAUCCUAGUACUACUCUCGCCCAAGCACGCUUAACUUCGGAGUUCUGAUGGGAUCCGGUGCUUUAGUGCUGGUAUGAUCGCAUCCGACAUACCGUGCGUUCUCCUCCCCUUUAUGCCCGCGCCUCCGUGUACGGCCCGCCCAUAGCUCCUUCGACGGCGCCGCCUAGGAACGCGGAGAAAAUAUGACAAAGGAACGGCCAAAAAUAAAAAGAAAGACCUUUCUUUUGAAAAAACAAACAAAUAAAAGGAAUGCAACACGAGGACUUCCCAGGAGGUCACCCAUCCUAGUACUACUCUCGCCCAAGCACGCUUAACUUCGGAGUUCUGAUGGGAUCCGGUGCUUUAGUGCUGGUAUGAUCGCAUCCGACAUACCGUGCGUUCUCCUCCCCUUUAUGCCCGCGCCUCCGUGUACGGCCCGCCCAUAGCUCCUUCGACGGCGCCGCCUAGGAACGCGGAGAAAAUAUGACAAAGGAACGGCCAAAAAUACAAAGAAAGACCUUUCUUUUGAAAAAACAAACAAAUAACAGGAAUGCAACACGAGGACUUCCCAGGAGGUCACCCAUCCUAGUACUACUCUCGCCCAAGCACGCUUAACUUCGGAGUUCUGAUGGGAUCCGGUGCUUUAGUGCUGGUAUGAUCGCAUCCGACAUACCGUGCGUUCUCCUCCCCUUUAUGCCCGCGCCUCCGUGUACGGUCCGACCAUAGCUCCUUCGACGGCGCCGCCUAGGAACGCGGAGAAAAUAUGACAAAGGAACGGCCAAACAUCAAAAGAAAGACCUGUCUUCUGACAGCACGAACCAACAAAAGGAAUGCAACACGAGGACUUCCCAGGAGGUCACCCAUCCUAGUACUACUCUCGCCCAAGCACGCUUAACUUCGGAGUUCUGAUGGGAUCCGGUGCUUUAGUGCUGGUAUGAUCGCAUCCGACAUACCGUGCGUUCUCCUCCCCUUUAUGCCCGCGCCUCCGUGUACGGCCCGCCCAUAGCUCCUUCGACGGCGCCGCCUAGGAACGCGGAGAAAAUAUGACAAAGGAACGGCCAAAAAUAAAAAGAAAGACCUUUCUUUUGAAAAAACAAACAAAAAAAAGGAAUGCAACACGAGGACUUCCCAGGAGGUCACCCAUCCUAGUACUACUCUCGCCCAAGCACGCUUAACUUCGGAGUUCUGAUGGGAUCCGGUGCUUUAGUGCUGGUAUGAUCGCAUCCGACAUACCGUGCGUUCUCCUCCCCUUUAUGCCCGCGCCUCCGUGUACGGCCCGCCCAUAGCUCCUUCGACGGCGCCGCCUAGGAACGCGGAGAAAAUAUGACAAAGGAACGGCCAAAAAUAAAAAGAAAGACCUUUCUUUUGAAAAAACAAACAAAAAAAAGGAAUGCAACACGAGGACUUUCCAGGAGGUCACCCAUCCUAGUACUACUCUCGCCCAAGCACGCUUAACUUCGGAGUUCUGAUGGGAUCUGGUGCUUUAGUGCUGUUAUGAUCGCAUCCGACAUACCGUGCGUUCUCGUCCCCUUUAUGCCCGCGCCUCCGUGUACGGCCCGCCCAUAGCUCCUUCGACGGCGCCGCCUAGGAACGCGGAGAAAAUAUGACAAAGGAACGGCCAAAAAUAAAAAGAAAGACUUUUCUUUUGAAAAAACAAACAAAAAAAAGGAAUGCAACACGAGGACUUCCCAGGAGGUCACCCAUCCUAGUACUACUCUCGCCCAAGCACGCUUAACUUCGGAGUUCUGAUG